AUCCAAGGUUAUUCUCUCUUCAAAGGGGACUACUAGUGCACCUCUUUAGGAAAGUAGCAACUUGGAAUAAAAUCUGGCAAACCUCGGGUUUCUGAGGGAAGGGGAUGUUUAUUUCCUUUGCCUUCCUCUGACUGUGUACAUGU
ensembl:snoRNA